rnacentral:rRNA from 1 species
UACGUAACGCUGGCGGCGCGUCUUAGCAUGCAAGUCGGACGGCAACUAGGGGCUUGCUCCUAGCUAGAGUGGCGGACUGGUGAGUAACACGUGGAUGACAUGUCUUUUGGUUGGGGAUAGCCGCUAGAAAUAGUGGAUAAUACCGAAUACGAACGCUACUAAUGAAGGGUGGUGGGGAAAGGAGCUACGGCUCCGCCGAUAGAGUGGUCCGCGGCCCAUUAGGCAGUUGGUGAGGUAACGGCUCACCAAACCUAUGAUGGGUAUCCGGCCUAAGAGGGUGAACGGACACAUUGGGACUGAGAUACGGCCCAGACUCCUACGGGAGGCAGCAGCUAAGAAUAUUCCGCAAUGGACGAAAGUCUGACGGAGCGACGCCGCGUGGAUGAUGAAGGCCGAAAGGUUGUAAAGUUCUUUUAAAUCUGACGAAUAAGUGCGGGAGGGAAUGCCUGCAUGGUGACGGUAGGAUUUGAAUAAGCAACGGCUAAUUACGUGCCAGCAGCCGCGGUAACACGUAAGUUGCAAGCGUUGUUCGGAAUUAUUGGGCGUAAAGGGCAUGUAGGCGGUUUUACAAGCUUGAUGUGAAAUGCCCCGGCUUAACUGGGGAACUGCAUUGAGAACUAUAGAGCUAGAGUUACUGAGAGGGAACUGGAAUUCCAGGUGUAGGGGUGAAAUCUGUAGAUAUCUGGAAGAACACCAAUGGCGAAGGCAAGUUUCUGGCAGAUAACUGACGCUGAGGUGCGAAGGUGCGGGGAUCGAACCGGAUUAGAUACCCUGGUAGUCCGCACAGUAAACGAUGUACACUAGGUGCUUGGCUUUACGGCUGAGUGUCGAAGCAAACGUGGUAAGUGUACCGCCUGGGGAGUAUGCCCGCAAGGGUGAAACUCAAAGGAAUUGACGGGGGCCCGCACAAACGGUGGAGCAUGUGGUUUAAUUCGAUGGUACGCGAGGAACCUUACCUGGGCUUGACAUAUAGAGUAAUUCGGUAGAGAUACCGGAGCGUAGUAAUACGACUGUAUACAGGUGCUGCAUGGCUGUCGUCAGCUCGUGCCGUGGAGGUGUUGGGUUAAGUCCCGCAAC